rnacentral:rRNA from 1 species
GACGAACGCUGGCGGCGUGCCUAAUACAUGCAAGUUGAGCGAUGAAGAUUGGUGCUUGCUCCAAUUUGAAGAGCAGCGAACGGGUGAGUAACGCGUGGGGAAUCUGCCUUUGAGCGGGGGACAACAUUUGGAAACGAAUGCUAAUACCGCAUAACAACUUUAAACAUAAGUUUUAAGUUUGAAAGAUGCAAUUGCAUCACUCAAAGAUGAUCCCGCGUUGUAUUAGCUAGUUGGUGAGGUAAAGGCUCACCAAGGCGAUGAUACAUAGCCGACCUGAGAGGGUGAUCGGCCACAUUGGGACUGAGACACGGCCCAAAAUCCUACGGGAGGCAGCAGUAGGGAAUCUUCGGCAAUGGACGAAAGUCUGACCGAGCAGCGCCGCGUGAGUGAAGAAGGUUUUCGGAUCGUAAAAAUCUGUUGGUAGAGAAGAACGUUGGUGAGAGUGGAAAGCUCAUCAAGUGACGGUAACUACCCAGAAAGGGACGGCUAACUACGUG